GACGAACGCUGGCGGCGUGCUUAACACAUGCAAGUCGAACGGAAGGGCCCUGCUUUUGUGGGGUGCUCGAGUGGCGAACGGGUGAGUAACACGUGAGUAACCUGCCCUUGACUUUGGGAUAACUUCAGGAAACUGGGGCUAAUACCGGAUAGGAGCUCCUGCUGCAUGGUGGGGGUUGGAAAGUUUCGGCGGUUGGGGAUGGACUCGCGGCUUAUCAGCUUGUUGGUGGGGUAGUGGCUUACCAAGGCUUUGGCGGGUAGCCGGCCUGAGAGGGUGAUCGGGCACCAUGGUACUGAGAUACGGCCCAGACUCCUACGUUGGGCAGUAGGGGGGAAUAUUGCACAAUGGGCGGACGCCUGAGGCAGCAAUCCCGCGUGCGUGAUGACGGCCUUCGGGUUGUAAACCGCUUUCGCCUGUGACGAAGCGGGAGUGACGGUAAUGGGUAAAGAAGCACCGGCUAACUACGUG
rnacentral:rRNA from 1 species